UCCAGACUCCUACGGGAGGCAGCAGUGGGGGAUAUUGCACAAUGGGGGAAACCCUGAUGCAGCGACGCCGCGUGGGUGAAGAAGUAUUUCGGUAUGUAAAGCCCUAUCAGCAGGGAAGAAAGAAGACGGUACCUGACUAAGAAGCCCCGGCUAACUACGUGCCAGCAGCCGCGGUAAUACGUAGGGGGCGAGCGUUAUCCGGAUUCACUGGGUGUAAAGGGAGCGUAGACGGCCGUGCAAGCCAGGAGUGAAAGCCCGGGGCCCAACCCCGGGACUGCUCUUGGAACUGUGCGGCUAGAGUGCGGGAGGGGCAGGCGGAAUUCCUGGUGUAGCGGUGAAAUGCGUAGAUAUCAGGAGGAACACCGGUGGCGAAGGCGGCCUGCUGGGCUGCGACUGACGUUGAGGCCCGAAAGCGUGGGGAGCAAACAGGAUUAGAUACCCCUGUA
rnacentral:rRNA from 1 species